CUCCUGGGACCCACAUCCAAUGACUGGCCAAUAUGGGGACUCAAAGGCCUGGUCCCCCUUCCCCAACUUGAGACUACUGUGAAGGAUCACCCAGCUUCAGAGCUUCCCAUGACUGAGACUUUUAGCCUUUGUUGUGGUCCAACCAAACUCUUCCUAUACACAGUCCUCACUCCUUCACUUCCCUCCUGGCACUUCCUAACAAACUUCCCUAGGAACUCAACCCAAGAUUGCUGAUACCAGCAGUGAUCCAAGAAAGCGAUGCCAACAUGAGAUUUUGGAAUUGGAUCACCUACCAUCCAGCUGGCAGUGCAGACCCCAUCAGUGGCAGUAGAUGAAGUACAUGUAGUCCCUAGCACAAGGUAGCAGUGAAAUUGUUAAAACUUUUGCCAACAGUGAACUAGAAUGGUAUUCCCAAGGAAGGAAAUGCACCAGAGGGUGUGACCUAUCAGGUGGUUGAGAAAUAUAGGGGGAAUCACCACAAGGACAAUGCAGUUAGGUGGCUUUCGCUAAGGAUAAUUAACACUUUGAAAAAAAUAAUGAAAUGUUGAAAAGGAUUCAUCAGCAAUUGAAAACUGAGUGUGAAAGCCAGAAGACCUCCUUGGGAGCUCAUGGGGAUACUCUCAUCCCCUGCACCUGGAGGAAAGGGAAAGCUGAGGACCAGGUACGUGGUUUAAUCCUAAGAGUAGCAGAGUGCAGGCUGGGCACGGUGGGUCACGCCUAUAAUCCCAGCACUCUGGGAGGCCGAGGCAGGUAGAUCACGAGGUCAUGAGUUCAAGACCAGCCUGGCCAAGACGAUGAAACACCGUCCCUACUAAAAAUACAAAUGGCUGGGUAUGGUGGCUCAUGCCUAUAAUCCCAGCACUCUGGGAGGCUGAGGCAGGCAGAUCACUUGAGGUCAGGAGUUUGAGACCAGCCUGACCAAUAUGGUGAAACCCUGUCUCUACUAAAAAUACAAAAAACUUAGCCGGGCGUCAUGGCACAGGCCUGUAGUCCCAACUACUCGGGAGGCUGAGACAGGAGAAUUACUUGAAUCCGGGAGGCGGAGGUUGCAGUAAGCCAAGAUUGUGCCACUGCACUCCAGCCUGGGUGACCGAGUGAGACUUCAGCUCAAAAAAUAAAAAUAAAAAAUAAAAA
rnacentral:lncRNA from 1 species